AGGAAAGAAGGAGGAAAGAGUCAAAGGCAGCUCUUGGGAGUAGACAGAGGUUUACAGAGAGAAGGGUAAGUGACAAGGCCAGUAUCCCAGCCCCUGUCAGCCCUGUCCGCUUCCUAGUUUAGGCUGAAUCUCCACUGGCAAAACGAUCUUUCCUCAUCUGGUACCCCAGAGUGGGCUGGAGGUGAAUGGCAGGAGAAUGGCAGAGUCCCUGGCCAGGCGCAGGCCGGCAGCUGGAGAGGCCCAGGACAGAAGCGUGCGCCCCUGACCUUGAAUGGCCCGGGGCUCAGAAUUCCUACCACGCCCCUGGCGUCUGCGAAGGAGCAGGUAACCUGACCGUACCUGCUCCAGGCCAGGUAGCGGGGUGGGAGGGGGAUGAGGCCGGCAGCCUGGCAGAGCGUUGAGGAGGCAGGAUCCAGACUCCUAUGCGGGAUAAGCCGAGGUUGCCACCGCAGGCCUGGCACGACCAGGGGUUGGAUGCCCCGCCCGGACCGGCCCGGCCUCCGCGCGCACAGGUACCUGGAGACGAUUUCAACUGAAGUAAUGAAGGCAGUGUCAUGCUGUCGAGAGAAAGGUGGAUCCCAACAACAGGAAACUACCUAAAUCACCGACCAGUUCUGUUGCUGCCCGCUUGGAGCUGCCUCGCCCGCCGCCGCCGCCGCCGUUACUGCCGCCGCCACCACCGCCGCCAAGUGAGAACCCUGCGAUCGGGCCUGGCCCCUCGCCAACCUGCGCCCGCCGCUGCCGCUGAGUGUCCCCGGGGCUGCCGUUAAGGCAUCGCGGAGGAAGAAGCCACCGGCCCCGCCAGAAGGACAUGGAAAUUCAAAGUAACUGAAAUAAUUUAGUCCCUCAAUGCAAGACCUUACACAAACUGGAAGAGACGUUUCCUUCUCCUGGUCAUUUCUUCUUAUUUUAAAGCUGAGCUAUCUUACAGGGGAAGGAAAAAUGAAUCUUUCUCAAUUUUACCAAUCAGCCAAAGUCAAACCCUUUUGCCAACCUGCAUGUACAUUUCUGCAAGCCCUUCUCUUUGCCAAGGAAAAAAAGAGAAAAGAAAGCCAAGGGCCUGUGCCCCCUGAUUAAACACAGCCCUGCACUCCAGGCAGGCAAGCCCGGUGGCGGCUCCUUGCACCAUUGACCUCAGGCCAGACACCUCAGCUGCCUACAAUGGGACCUCCGCCUUCCGGCUAGGUCGCUGGCCCCGCAGGAAACCAGCUGCACUCGGAGGACAGAGGCCAUUUCAAGCAGUGGAACCCCGAGACAGCACACCAUCCCCGUCACCACUUGACACUUAAGACAGCAUCUCUCUAUAGAAUUUUAGCGCGAUAUGGCUUUUUCCCCCAGAAAACAACAAAUAAACCAGCACCAAGCAGACAAAGAAACAAAAAGUCAGAACAAACCAGCCCUGCACAGAUGUAACGGCCAGCGAGAUGGCGAGUGUGGGAGGGAAGAAUGGGGGACUCCGGCACAGGUGCGAGUUCCUGGGCAGAGCCGAAGACAAGAGGGAGGAGAACGGGUCUCUGGACGCGAAAAGAACCACAUUGCCUGGAGCUUCAUCAGGAAAAAUUAAAGUUGGCUGUGAGCUCCCGGA